rnacentral:rRNA from 1 species
CCUGGAGGAAGGUGGGGAUGACGUCAAAUCAUCAUGCCCCUUAUGCUUAGGGCUACACACGUGCUACAAUGGGUAGUACAGAGGGUUGCCAAGCCGUAAGGUGGAGCUAAUCCCUUAAAGCUACUCUCAGUUCGGAUUGUAGGCUGAAACUCGCCUACAUGAAGCUGGAGUUACUAGUAAUCGCAGAUCAGAAUGCUGCGGUGAAUGCGUUCCCGGGUCUUGUACACACCGCCCGUCACACCACGGGAGUUGGAGACGCCCGAAGCCGAUUAUCUAACCUUGUGGAAGAAGUCGUCGAAGGUGGAAUUAAUAACUGGGGUGAAGUCGUAACAAGGUAGCCGUAUCGGAAGGUGCGGCUGGAUCACCUCCUUUCUAAGGAGA